rnacentral:rRNA from 1 species
UGGGGAAUAUUGCACAAUGGACGGAAGUCUGAUGCAGCAACGCCGCGUGCGGGAUGACGGCCUUCGGGUUGUAAACCGCUUUUUCUCAUGACGAAGUUUUUUGACGGUAGUGGGGGAAGAAGCACCGGCUAACUACGUGCCAGCAGCCGCGGUGAUACGUAGGGUGCGAGCGUUGUCCGGAAUUAUUGGGCGUAAAGAGCUUGUAGGCGGUUUGUCGCGUCGAUAGUGCAAACUCAGUGCUUAACGCUGAGCCUGCUGUUGAUACGGGCAGACUAAAGGAAGGUAGGGGAGAAUGGAAUUCCCGGUGGAGCGGUGGAAUGCGCAGAUAUCGGGAGGAACACCGGUGGCGAAGGCGGUUCUCUGGGCCUUUCCUGACGCUGAGAAGCGAAAGCGUGGGGAGCGAACAGG